UGAUUGUGGGUCAAACUGACAAGAGGU
rnacentral:piRNA from 1 species